rnacentral:rRNA from 1 species
CUACGGGAGGCUCCAGUAAGGAAUAUUGCGCAAUGGAGGCAACUCUGACGCAGCCAUGCCGCGUGCAGGAAGAAGGCCUUAUGGGUCGUAAACUGCUUUUAUUUAGGAAUAAACCCCCGAACGUGUUCGGGGCUGAAGGUACUAAGCGAAUAAGCACCGGCUAACUCCGGGCCAGCAGCCGCGGUAAUACGGAGGGGGCAAGCGUUAUCCGGAUUUAUUGGGUUUAAAGGGUGCGCAGGCGGGCUAUUAAGUCAUUGGUGAAAUCCCGGGGCUCAACUCCGGAACUGCCAUUGAUACUGAUAGUCUUGAGUUUGGUUGAAGUGGGCGGAAUGUAGCAUGUAGCGGUGAAAUGCAUAGAUAUGCUACAGAACACCAAUCGCGAAGGCAGCUCACUAAGCCAAAACUGACGCUCAUGCACGAAAGCGUGGGGAUCAAACAGGAUUAGAUACCCUAGUAGUC